rnacentral:lncRNA from 1 species
UAUAUAUGGAUCGCUGAAGAUGGAAUGAAGAUGCAGGUAAGACAAUAUGCUUUCCCUCCAAAAUCAUGAAUGUUUUGCAUUAGUCUCUGCAAAAACUAAGUUUCGCACAGUAUAGCGAUCGACUUCAAAUCAAUAUUUACUCCGACUCCUAAACUUUGCAAUGGCCAUUUUAAUGCAGAGUUUUGGAAGUCAAGAGUGGGAUACUGGUUUUGCCAUACAAGCACUGCUGGCUAGUGAUCUUACAGAAGAAAUCGGCCAGACUCUUAUGAAAGGGCAUGACUUCAUAAAGAAGUCUCAGGUCAGAGAUAACCCUUCUGGUGACUUCAAAGCCAUGCACCGGCAUAUUUCUAAAGGAUCGUGGACUUUUUCAGACCAAGAUCAUGGAUGGCAAGUAUCUGACUGCACUGCAGAAGCAUUUAAGGUAAAGAUCAUUUAAAUUGCAAAUGUGGUAAGAAAUGAAAAAAAUACAUUAAGGGUGCGUUUGAUUACAAGUAGGAAAAUUACAUGGAAAGAAAAUGAAUUCCAGGGAAUUGAAUUACCUAGAAAUUGUUUUCAUGGAAAUUGUAAAUUAUUGUGUUUGAUUGUAUAAAUUUUUCAUGUGGAAAAUGUUGAAGUAAAAGUAUUUUUUGAUGUUCGUUUGACUUUGUUUUACGUGAAAAAUUGUCAAUUUCAGGGAUAUCCUCUUUUACAAUUAUUCCUAAAAUUUAUUCCCAUUGCCAAUAAUUAAAAAAAAAUAAAAAAAGCAAAAAAAAAAUAAAAUAAAAAUAAGGUGGAAAACCAAAAACCACCUAUCCCCUAGGAAAAAAAAGGUGGAAAAUCACGCUUUAAGGUGUUGUACCUAGAAAUUCAUGGAAAAUCAAUUCCCUGGAAAAUUUUGUCAAUCAAACAGGCCAAAAGUGGAAGUUGGAAUUCGAAUUCCAAGUUCCAUGGAAAAUUUCGUGUAAUCAAACGGGGCCUAAGAUGGGUUCUCACCAACUGUUUUUCUUGUUCCUUUUUAUUACAGUGUUGCCUUCUCUUCUCAAUGAUGCCACCUGAAAUUGUUGGUCCCACAAUGGAAACUGAAAGACUCUACGACGCUGUCAAUAUAUUGCUUUCCUUACAGGUAUCAAUGUUUUAUCCUCUGACCAAUUAUAAAGUAACUUCUCAAGUUUUUUGAGUAUAUGUUGUUGGGCAUACCAAAACUCAUUUUUUUCCUGUAAUUUAUUUGGCAAUUCUAUACCUAGCCCUUGUUUGAUUCCCAUUUUUGAGAUAAAAUGAAUUAUGUAAUAGUAGUUUUUUGGAGAAUGUGUGGUUAAAAAGUAAGGAAAUUUUUUUGAAAUUCGUGUAUAAUUAUUUUAUAGAAAAAUGUGUGGAUGAAAAUGAGUUUUGAAAAAAUGGGGAUCAAACAAGGGCCUAGAUAGGUAAGUUCAAGUUCAUGAUUCAUAUGGUAUAACAACGCACUAGAACAAAAAAUUUUGUUUGAUAUGUCAGUUUUCUAAACAUUACCAUAAUAGCUAUUAAAAUACAUGGCCAACUGCAUAAAUGCUUACAGAGCAAAAAUGGUGGGUUAGCUGCAUGGGAGCCUGCAGGAGCCUCAGAGUGGUUGGAGGUAGCUUCUUCUUCUAAGUUUCUAAUUUAAAAAAGAAAAAGAAAAUAAUUAAAUCCGCCUGCAUGUACAUCUACACUGAGAAACUUAAGUUACUAAUUGUGCUUUAUUCUGCCACAGAUUC